UCUCUUCCAACUUAAGAAAAGAAAAUAAAAGAAUAAAGGGCUAAGCCCUUUGGCGGUUCUUACACAUGCUGCACACCCCCUUUCUUCUCCCCCUUUGUCUCACUAUUUCUUCUCCUCACACACACACACACACGGCCUUGAGAGAGAGAGCUUUGAAGAUUGAGAGAGAGAUCACGGAAGAGAGAGAAAGAACAGGUUUGAGUGAGAAAGAGAGCUGCUGGCCUUGAGAAGAAGAAGAAGAAAUCUUGGAGGCGAUUCCAGUCAUGGAAGCUUGAAUGGGGCAAGCAUAGUAAGGACAAGUACAAAUGGUACACAGAGAAACAAGAAUGACAAUGAUGAGCAUGAGCAUGCAUAUCAUAUGAGUUAUAUGAUGAUGAUGAUUUAUGAUGUUUUCAAAUGAUGGUUCUUUUGGAAAACUAGUAAGUUUCCAUACUGCUGAGCGUCUCUAUUUUAUGAAGACGGCGGGCUCAUAAUUCUGCCUGUAUCACAGGUGGUGGUGAUUCCCGUGGUGCAGACGAUGUUGUGGAUGUAGGUACAAAAAUUGUAGGUGAGGAUCCUGUGGCCAGGCCAUGUAUUUGGGCUACGAUGUUUGAGGCCUAAAGGCAUCAUAUGUUUAUUUUGUUGGGCUAGUUGUUGGUCCCCUUUUGUAUAAGCAUUCAUGUAUAUGUUUAGACAUUGGUAUUUUGUAUAUGGCUCGUGUCACAUGUGACACUUUUGUAUAGCCAUUCUUUUGUAUGUAAAGCAUUAUUCACAUAGAUGUAUUGUCAACUCUAAUGUGUUAUGUUAUUUAUAUUCCAGUGCAAAUAUAUGAA